GGUAGGUGAGCCGGCUGAUCCCUUUAUUAUCUACCCCUUUUAUCAUUCCCAUACCCAAUUUUCGAUAUUGGGCUCUGCUCCCAUAUUUCUACUUCUCUUCUAUUCAACUGUCUGACCUACCCUAUCAGACACUUUUGAAGAUUGCUCUGAUCUGGUAAGAAUUCUAUUCAUUUUAUUGGUUUAUAUGGGCCAAAAUUGAUUCCAAACCCGUUUGACUUUUACAUUAAUAUUUUCCAUUUCUGGGAAUUUACGAUUCAAUGGAUUAGUGUUUGAGGUUUUUUUUAAACAGUGCUGUAAAGAUCAGGUUUUGAGGAUGGAGUUUUUUGAAAGAGCAGAAGCUCAAUUUAUCAUUGGGGUUGCUGUUGCUAUUGCUGCUGCUGGUGCUGCUGCCUACUAUUAUUCUUCCAAGAAACCCAAAGGUCUUAUUUACUUUAGCUGCCCAUUACUUACUACAUAAGUGAAGGGCGAGCGAUAUAGACUUGUGCAUGGCUAUGUUUAAGUCUAGAGUCCGAACCUCAUUUUAGCGCACAAAGUAGCGUUAGAUCUUGAGUUGCUUGACCCAUUGAACAUCUAGAGUUCGAAUCACAUUUUAGCCUCAAACGCUUUGGUCUAGUGGUAAGAAUAUAAGAAUGCAGCACCAUGUGUGGGUUAGGCAUACAUCACGAGUUCAGUCCUGCAACAGUCAAAAGCUUAGUAUUUAAGUGGGGAGGGUAGAGAGGUGGGCUCAUUAUUUACCGGGUUUCAAACUAUGUGCCAUAGUCCUCGAGAUUUCUAGGCUAUCAAAAUAUGUAUAUAUAUAGGGGAAAUGUUGUCAAUGGACCAGGUGUGUUUGGUAUGUUUUCCUCAAAAUGUUUUUCCGAAAAUAAGUCAUUAUUGUUAGUGAAAAAUAUAUCUUGAAAAUGAGCAUUUAUUGAAGAAUGAUAAUAAUAUUAACAGAUGGGAUAGUGUUUUGAUGAAAUUGCUGUGUAUAUAGAGAUUGAUAGUAAUGUUUAACCAUUGAUUGGAGCAGUUGGUGAAAAAUGCUUUCUUUUUACAACCAAACACUGUUUUCUAUUAUUUGAUGACUCUAAGUACUCCAAAAAUGGUUGUCACAGUUUGCUUCGUCGUGUUUAAGCUGCAGACUAAGAUUUUUAUGUAAAUGGAUUUUUGACUAAGAUAAUUAAAUAACUCUUUCUUCUUUUUUAUAUGAGAAACUUGUAACUUACCAAAUAUAACAUCAAAACAGUGAAUUAUUCCAUGUCUGAUUGGUCAAAUUGACCAUGAUAAGUAAACAAUUGUCAAACAAAUCGAGACAAACAAAGCAUGCAUUAUUAGUCUUCUAGUGUUGACUUUUAAAGGCUGUACUUAUUCAUUUAGAUAGUAAAGUUAAAUACCCAAUGUUUGUAGCAAGGAAACCUAAGUGCUCCUCUUGUAUUUUCUAAGAUGUCAGCAUAUCUGCUGACUUAUUGGUUUAAUUGAGAAUAUCUGCUUGAAAUUUUGUGGUGACCAUGCUUUUGAUCUUGGUUAUUAUAGACUAACUAGUUAAAUCGUGUUGGCUUUACAGUAUGCUUGGAUCC
rnacentral:lncRNA from 1 species